CGCAACAUUCACACGUGAAAAGACGCUUCUAGUCAUAAGCUAAACAUUUCAACAAGCUGAAGCAGCUGAAAACACUUAAACCACCAUCGGACGAAAUCGAGCCUUAUCACUGAAGCGAAAGGGGUGAAAAAAAUGCUUAUUCACAUCGUGUUCCAGCGGCAGGCUCAUGGAUUCACGUCUACGGUUCAAGGCUUCCACUCAUGGAUUUAUUCAACCACUUUCCUACGAUUGGAAACACAUAAGUCACAACGUAGAACAAAUCGUAGAUUCAUGCUUGAUUCAUGGAUUCUUAUGCAUUUCAGUUCAUCGUUCUCUUCGUGUUUCACGUUUCCGUAUUGUCGACAUGGUGCAAUUCACUUCAAUAGAUUCCAACAACAACUUUCAACAAAAUUCGGAUUGAAGCGAACUUACCCGUUUUGACGCAGCGAUGAAACAGAUCUUGCUAUGCUUCUGCUUUUUGGAUGAAUGAAUGAAGAAAGAAUGGAGAAUUUAUGUGAUCUCUGUGAUUGGAUGAAAAAGAUGAUUGGAGAAGUGAUGAAUGCAUAAUCAUUAUGGACUAUUCAAGGUUGAAAUAGAAUGAAGAGUGAACAGGAAGAGUGAAGAGUUUUUUUUUCUCUGAUGAAUACUGUUAUAUAGAACAAUUCGCAACCGAAUCGGGCAACAAAUUGGGGCAGGUUAGUUAGAUUUGGGCAGGUGCUAAAUUUGGUUUAACACUUGUGAAAUUUCCUCAGUAGAAGUUGUUAAGUGUUAGUUGCGAUUUUGAACUUCGGUUAGUAUGAAAUUGCAAUUAAUUGGUUAGUAUGUGUUAGUUAGAAAUUCACAAUGAAAUGAGGAUGGAUUUUAUAUUUGAAUUUGAGUUUAAUUUGGUUCUCUUUAGCUUCAGUUUUUGAACUGUUAGAAAUUGUUAGAUUGUUGGUUAGGAAUGCAGUUAUUCUGUUACUGUUAGUUAACAAGUUGGUUAACAAGUACUUAUCUUAAUUAGUAAUUUGUCAUCAAAUUCAAGUUCAAUUAAAGGUUAGCUCUAGGUUAGUCAUAGGUUAAUUAGAAAAUCAGUUGAUUAGUUAAUCUGUUUAAAACCAAUUUUUUGUUUCAGUUAUCAUUAUGUUGUCAACUUAUGCAGAUGGAGUUGGUUUGAUUUUUGUUGAAUGAAUGAUGUUAGUGAUCUAUUAUGAUGCAUUGUAAAUUUGUUGUUAAAUGUUAGUGCAGAUUAGAUGUUACGCUAGCUCUGCAUUGAGAUGUCAGGAAGUGAAUUAAAUGUUGCUCCUGUUAAAUUGCUGUUAGUAAAUUUCAGUUAGGCAACUAGUGCAUUUUUGUUGCUACUGAUUGUUGGUUUGUGAAUGAAUUAUAAGUGACAGUCUGUUGAUACCAUGAAUUAUAUGUGGACUUCUUUGAACUUUUGGGUAAACUAAACUCUGUUAAGCUUGUUAUUGUUAUGUUGUUGUAUGAAUUUGCUUGUUGGAAAUGAAUAUGGUUGUAGGUGCUACAAACUACUUGCUUGUGUCGUGUGCUGCCUAUGAACUGAUGAUUGGCUUGUUUUGUUUGAAGCAUUGCUUGAGUGGGUUUAUGACAGGGUUGAUGUUGCUUGGCUUGUUGGGGCCUGCAGGUUUGAAGGUUAUGCAUUAUUUUGCAGGCUGCUUGUUUCUAUACUUAGACUGUUGCAAGUACUAGCAGUUGGUAUGCAAGGUUUGAUGGUCGUUGAACAUAACUUCAAGGCAUGACAAAACAAAUGAAGCAACUUUGGCAUGUGAGAUCAAAGGGGUAAGAUGAAGAAUCAAAGUGAAGAUUAGGAUUAGGUUCAUGGAUUAGGUGGGUUGACUUUGGUCAAAGUUGACCAAAAAGUCAAAUGUUGACCAAAGUCAACCUUUGGUCAAAAUUAUUAUUUUUGUAAUUUUAUUAUGAAAUGAUGUAAAUAUGAUUUGAAUGUAAAUUUAUAUUAAUGGUUCCUUUUA